rnacentral:tRNA from 1 species
GGAGAGGUGGCGCAACAGGUAAGCGCACCUGUCGGAAUAGUGUAUACCAGCAGAUGCGACCUGCACAUGAAUAAAGCCACGAUUUCCGGCCGGUUGAAAGCGAAGAGCAGUAGCUUUCGUGCGGGUUCGAAUCCCGCCCUCCCCA